rfam:Dipodomys ordii contig_70377, whole genome shotgun sequence.
GGGAAGGUGGCUCAGUGGUAGAGCGCUUGCCUUUCAUACAUGAGGCCCUGGGUUCGAUUCCCCAGCUCCA